rnacentral:rRNA from 1 species
UCGCCUGUUUUCCAAAAACAUCGCCUCCUGCAAAAAUCAAUGUAUAGGAGGUCUUGCCUGCCCAGUGAUAAGUUAAACGGCCGCGGUAUUUUGACCGUGCGAAGGUAGCGCAAUCACUUGUCUUUUAAAUGAAGACCUGUAUGAAUGGUAGAACGAGGGCUUAACUGUCUCCCUUUUCCAGUCAAUGAAAUUGAUCUGCCCGUGCAGAAGCGGACAUAAAAAUACAAGACGAGAAGACCCUUUGGAGCUUAAGAUAAAAACCAACUAUGUCAAGAGCCAAAUAAAAUUAAGCUAAACUAAAUAUGCACCUGGUUAAUAUCUUCAGUUGGGGCGACUGCGGGAGAAAAUAAAGCUCCCACGAGGAUUGGGCCUAUUCCUAAAACCAAGAAAGCCACUUCUAAGUCACAGAACAUCUGACCACUUAAGAUCCGACCACCAGCCGAUCAACGGACCAAGUUACCCUAGGGAUAACAGCGCAAUCCCCUUUAAGAGUCCAUAUCGACAAGGGGGUUUACGACCUCGAUGUUGGAUCAGGACAUCCUAAUGGUGCAGCCGCUAUUAAGGGUUCGUUUGUUCAACGAUUAAAGUCCUACGUGAUCUGAGUUCAGACCGGAGCAAUCCAGGUCAGUUUUCUAUCUAA